rnacentral:rRNA from 1 species
UACGUAGGGGACAAGCGUUGUCCGGAAUUAUUGGGCGUAAAGGGCGCGUAGGCGGCCACCGCAAGUCGACUGUGAAAUCUCCGGGCUUAACCCGGAAAGGUCAGCCGAUACUGCGGGGCUAGAGUGCAGAAGGGGCAACUGGAAUUCUCGGUGUAGCGGUGAAAUGCGUAGAUAUCGAGAGGAACACCUGCGGCGAAGGCGGGUUGCUGGGCUGACACUGACGCUGAUGCGCGAAAGCUAGGGGAGCGAACGGG